GGAGAGAUGGCUCAGUGGUUAAGAGCACUGGCUGCUCUUCCAGAGGAUCUGGGUUCAAUUCCUAGCACCC
rnacentral:tRNA from 1 species